rnacentral:rRNA from 1 species
GAUGAACGCUGACAGCAUGCUUAACACAUGCAAGUCUUUGGCGAAUCUGUGCUUGCACAGGCUAGCCAAGGCGGACGGGUGAGUAACGCGUCAAGAACUUGCCCUGCAGACAGGGAUAACAGACGGAAACGACUGAUAACACCUGAUACAGUUGCCGGCACGCAUGUGCCUGGCAAUGAAAAGAGAUGCUGCAGGAGAGCUUUGCGUCCUAUUAGCUUGUUGGUGGGGUGAUGGGUCACCAAGGCGAUGAUAGGUAGCCGGCCUGAGAGGGUGAACGGCCACAAGGGGACUGAGAUACGGCCCUUACUCCUACGAGAGGAGGCAGUGGGGAAUAUUGGACAAUGGGGGCAACCCUGAUCCAGCAAUUCUGUGUGCACGAAGAAGGUUUUCGGAGUGUAAAGUGCUUUCAGCAGGGAAGAAGAAAGUGACGGUACCUGCAGAAGAAGCGACGGCUAAAUACGUG